UACGGAGGGUGCAAGCGUUAUCCGGAUUCACUGGGUUUAAAGGGUGCGUAGGUGGAUCGGUAAGUCCGUGGUGAAAUCCCCGAGCUUAACUCGGGAACUGCCGUGGAUACUAUCGAUCUUGAAUACUGUGGAGGUAAGCGGAAUAUGUCAUGUAGCGGUGAAAUGCUUAGAUAUGUCAUAGAACACCGAUAGCGAAGGCAGCUUGCUACACAGUUAUUGACACUGAGGCACGAAAGCGUGGGGAGCAAACAGG
rnacentral:rRNA from 1 species